GGUGAGAUGGCUUAGUGGUUAAGAGCACUGGCUGCUCUUCCAGAGGACCUGGGUUCAAUUCCUAGCACCC
rnacentral:tRNA from 1 species